UAUCCUUUAUUUCUCCUACACGAAAUCGUCUAAGGCAAGGCAAGAGGUUCUUUUCCUCAUUUCCCUAUACCGUCGGCCCUAAAGAAAACAAAAGAGAAAAAAUUUCUCAAGUGUUCUUCCUUCACCUCUUGGUUUUCUCUAACCCGUGCGAUACCUCUCUUCUCUCAAAGCCGAUCCUUUCCACUUCCUAAACCUAAGAUCUUCCACCGAAAAUCUUCAAAGAAAUUGAUCCCCCCUAAAUCCUUCGGAUUCUCUCUUCGGAUUUUCUCUUCCUCUUCUUGUUGCUGUGUACUUCUAUGGCUUCAAAAGAGAUCCAAACAGGAGUUUAAUUUCAAGAUUCAAGGAACCUACUUGUAAAGCCACGAGGUUGUGGAGCUGGGCACUGCUGAGGAGGGAAUGGCCGAUGCUUAGAGUUCCCUGUUGGUUCGACUUUUGAGGAUAAUGGUUAUGUUUUUACGUUUUUAUGAUGGGUCCCAUGUUGGGACAUUUUGUUGGCUUGACGUUAAGACAAUAUGCCUUUAGGCAUGAUGUAAAUACUAUGAUGGGGUGAUGGUAAUGGUGUAACUUCUAUGGUGGGGUGAUGGUAACCCCACAUAAGAAGGUUAAAUACCUUUUUGUAUGCGUUGUGGGGACUGAGUUCCCUCUUAUUUAGAACUAGUUAUGUUUGAUGAAUGAAUGAUCGACUCUGAGAGUCCUUUAAUUAGAA